rnacentral:rRNA from 1 species
CCUGACCCAGCGACGCCGCGUGGGUGAAGAAGGCCUUCGGGUUGUAAAGCCCUGUCACGGGGGACGAUAGUGGCGGUACCCUGAGAGGAAGCCCCGGCUAACUACGUGCCAGCAGCCGCGGUAACACGUAGGGGGCGAGCGUUGUCCGGAAUUACUGGGCGUAAAGGGCGCGUAGGCGGUUAGCCGUGUCAGGUGUGAAAGGCUGGGGCUUAACCCCAGACCUGCACUUGAGACUGGCUAACUUGAGGGCAGGAGAGGCAGGUGGAAUUCCUGGUGUAGCGGUGAAAUGCGUAGAUAUCAGGAGGAACACCGGUGGCGAAGGCGACCUGCUGGACUGGCCCUGACGCUGAGGCGCGAAAGCGUGGGGAGCGAACAGGAUUAGAUACCCUGGUAGUCCACGCUGUAAACGAUGGGUACUAGGUGUAGGGGGUUAUGAUACCCUCUGUGCCGUAGCUAACGCGAUAAGUACCCCGCCUGGGGAGUACGGCCGCAAGGUUGAAACUCA